AGCAGUAGCCACGGGAAUACGGAGGGUGCAAGCGUUAAUCGGAAUUACUGGGCGUAAAGCGCACGCAGGCGGUUUGUUAAGUCAGAUGUGAAAUCCCCGAGCUUAACUUGGGAACUGCAUUUGAAACUGGCAAGCUAGAGUCUUGUAGAGGGGGGUAGAAUUCCAGGUGUAGCGGUGAAAUGCGUAGAGAUCUGGAGGAAUACCGGUGGCGAAGGCGGCCCCCUGGACAAAGACUGACGCUCAGGUGCGAAAGCGUGGGGAGCAAACAGGAUUAGAUACCCCGGUAGUCCCUGUCUCUUAUAC
rnacentral:rRNA from 1 species